AGUACCCAGGUCAGGUAGCUGGAUCGCACUUCUUCCCAAUCCAUCAAUCGUGUUCUCGCGAGCCAGAGGCCAGAGCCAUGGAGAAGAGCCGGGUGCUGGUGGUGGGCGGCACCGGGUACAUCGGGCGGCGGCUCGUGAGGGCGAGCCUGGCGCAAGGGCACCCGACGCUAGUCCUGCUGGAGUUAUUUGAGAUUGUAAUAAUCUCGUCGCGCGGCUUCGCCCCUUUGGUACUCCGCAGCCGCGCAUCGCCAGUAUGGUAUUCUCGACCUCACAUCCUUGCCAGAUAGGGACAGUUAUUCCCCCGUCCUCUGUUACCUUCGAUUAGCUAAGGUAAAAGUCAAAAAUGUCCCUGCUGUUUACAGAGUCGAGCCCGGUGAAAACCUAACUUCCUCCUCUCUUCUUCCACGGGGCUCUCCUUUGGCGCCGCCACUCAUUCCUCCAAUGGCUACUCCGGCAAGAGGCAAGAAACGGCUCGUCGUCGACGUCGAUCUCGAGCUCGACAGUGAGGUCGAAGUGGCCUCCGCCUUCAGCCGACUGUCUGUUUCAGUCGUUGCCAAGCGUACAGGCGAGAGUUCUACAGGCGACGGUUGCGGCUUCGAGCACUCCACCGGCAAGCAGCGCACCUCCAGCAAGGAGUGGACCAGCGGCAAUGAACUCACCUGCGCGGCCACAUCAGGUACCUGUUUUUGUGGGGCUAACUGCCCAACGUUGGAUGUGAAGCUGUUGACGUUGGUUGUGCAGGUGAGUUCCUUGCCGCUUCUCUAGCUUCGUGGGGUUAACUGCCCAACGUUGGAUGUUGCGCACGAAGCUAGAGGGAUGUGAAGCUGUUGACGUUGGGCAGUGAUAUUUGUAGAGUUCUGUAUUUUGAAACUGUUUUUAUCCAAACUGUCUAGUGACCAUUAGUGCUAGAAGCAGAGAGUGGCUUUAAUUGUUAACUGUUUUCUGUCGAACAGAGCUCACAGCCGGCGUCAAUCACUGCUCGGCACCUCGUUCAGUGUCGGUAAGGGUUGAACUAAGUUCAAUAAUAUGCAGUACUAUGUUCAAAUCCAAUAGCAAUUUUUGUGGUUUCGCAGAUUACCCGAUUUGAAACAGUUCGUAGUGACCUCGCCCAAGCCAUUACAAAGAUGCGUGUAGUUGGGAAGGAGUUGAAAGAUUUGGCUGGAGACGAGAUUAUGAAUUCGCCAGAUACGGCCAAAGAUGUGUCAUCUACAAAGUGCUCCAUUCCAAUUUAUCGCAGUUGUUGCGCUAUAAUGACCACUAGGCCAUGCUGGCACGGUUUCCCUGUGUGCUGCCAUUCUAGACAUGAACAGUAUCUCUGUUCAGCUUUGACAACGUGUCUGCUGUGAAUGUUGUUAUUAUCACGGAUCUCAGCAUGAUAGUAGUCACCUUUUUGUAUAGAUAAAUGACCCAACCCCCGGGUUCUAGCCUUCAACAAAUUGAUGACUAUGGGAAGGAUUGUACCACCCAAUUUGUCGCCGAUCCUUUUCCUUCUAAAAAAGAGAUCCAUAACCAAACAUCUGAUUUUGUCCGCAAGUUCACAAACUGGUAGGUCUUUGUAGUCUUUAAUCCAGUUGUUAAAUACCUCAGCAAUGUUGUUGGUUAUGUAGUCACACUUUAUAGCCGUGUUGAAACCACAUCUGUACCAUAAAAGAGGGUGCCACUCAUCGAUCCAUUGCUUCACACCCGGUAUAUCUCUGGCUUUACUGAAGUGGUGCUCGAAAAUGGUGUUCCUAUAUGCUCUAGCCGCGGGAUACAUGUGCUCAGAUCCAGUGAAGUGCUUAACAUAGUUCUGCAUCAGGUGGCGGAAGCAUUCUCUUUUUUCAGCAUUUGGAAAUACAUCGUUCACUGCUGAUGUCAGUCCUUUGCAUGCAUCAGAGCAAAUGGCUAAAACAGGAGGGUUGCCUAAGGCCUUUCGAAGUUGUUGCAUGAACCAAAUCCAACUAUCUUUUGUCUCUGACUCGAAGAAACCAAAAGCCACUGGAAACAUCCAAUUAUGACCAUCAACACUUGUUGAUGAGGGAAGGUGACCAUUCCAACGACCAUUUAGAGCUGUGGAAUCCACACUUAAGUAGGGCCUGCAUCCUUCACGAAACCCUUGAAGACAAGGGCCAAAAGCACAAAAGAAUCUGCUGAAAUAUAAUUUCCCAUCAUCAACUACUAGAUCAAACUCAAUGACUGAGUCUGGCAUAACCUCCAAAACAGCUUCUCUCCAUCUAAAUAGUAAUUUGAAGCUGUCCUCCCAUGUUCCAUACAACUCUCUAAGGGCCUUCUCUUUACCUUUCCACACUGUAUCAUACGAAAUUGUGCAAUUGUGCUGCUCUUGCAAGGUAUUUUGCAAUUCUUUAGCUCCCAUAUGUGGUUUCUUCGUAAGGAAUGGCAUUGCUAGGGAAGCAACCCAUGAGCUGGUGGGUGUUGUUGUUUUUCGACGACCACUAGAAGUGCAUGUGUGCUUAUCCACGAUAACUGUAACCUGCAAACAAUAUAAAAUUCAUUGUGAGCUUCCCAAAUUUCAUUUAGGAUCCAAAGUACAAACAAUGUGUGAUACAACAAUACUCACAACGACUGUGGGAGACCCGGCAUUUUGUAGCCUUGCAUUGAUUCUCCAUGGACAAUCACCUCCUUUGCAAUAAGCUCGAUAUCUGAAUGGUGAGCUUGACUCAAUCCCUAACUCAAACUCAUUAUUAAUUGCAUAUUGCCUGAUAGCCAGUCUAAAUUCUUUCAUAUCCUUGUACAAACUCCCAAUCUUCAUUACUGGAUUAGAUCUAUUGCACUCAAAUACCCUUUCUUGUGGUAUGCAAUCAGUGCAGGGCAAUUCAUCAUUAAAUUCAUCGCUUUGGCGGACAGUCUCUUGCCUUUCAGUAGUUUCACGUUCAUCUUCAGCUAACAAUCCUAACCGAUCAUACAUCACUGACUCAGAGGCAGUCUCUUGUUCUCCUUCUUCCUCCCAUCUAUCAUCAAUUUGUAUUGCCCCCCAAUCAAUUUCUAAUACCUGCAAACAUCCAAUUAAGAGAGCUAUGAAGUACUCGGCUAAGAUGCAUCAAAAACUAAACUGCUGGACAAUAUUUCUAUCAAACCUCCAUUCUCUGUUCAUCCCCUAACAGAAAAUCUUGGGGAUCAGACAAAUCCGAGCUCCUAACAGGUAGAUCCACUCUUUCCACAGGGGAAACCAUGGGGAUGCAAGGAGGUGGCGACGACAGCUGUCCGGUGGCAGGGGGUGGGGCGGAAAUCUGGCUGCUGGCAAAAAAUGGCGCGGACAUCUCACUGGUAGACGGCAGCGCGCGCAUAUGGAAGCAGGAUAACGGAGGAUUGCGCGAGCACCUGGUGGCGAGUGCCCCUGCUGGCAGACGGCAGCGCUCGCAGAUGGAAGCUGGGGAAUGGAGGUGAGCACCUGGUGGCGAGCAGUCGAGUCCCCAAGCUGGCAGACGGCGGCGCGCGUUAGUCCGGCUGCCAACCGAGCGCAAGAAACCCGUAGGGGUAUGUUAGUCCGAAGGGGAACACAACCGGCAUUAAGAUUUGCAAAACAUACGUUAACAGAGGGCGGGGGAUUAAAUGUCCCAAACUGGCGAGGCUGUGAGCUCCAUAAUACCAUACUGGCGAUGCGCGGCUGCGGAGUACCAAAGGGGCGAAGCCGCGCGACGAGAUUAUUACAAUCUCAAAUAACUCAGUCCUGCUGCGGCCGGAGAUCGGCCUGGACAUCGACAAGCUCCAGAUGUUGCUCUCCUUCAAGGCCCAGGGCGCGCGGCUGGUGGAGGCGUCGCUGGAGGACCACGCGGGCCUCGUCGCCG
rnacentral:lncRNA from 1 species